UAUUUGUUUUCUAUUACAUUUUGAAUGGCCACUUAGAUACUUAAACAUAUGGAACGCAAAUGCAUUCUCUAACUUGAACGUUAUAGCUAUGGACCUUGUUGUGCACAAGUUAGGACACCCGCUAACCAGUUUUGUUUCUUUUCAUUUGACUUUAUCUGAUGCAAGAUGUCAUCUCGUCGACCUUUUGGUUCGGUAACUAGUUAGCGAGCUACAGUUAGCUAACGUUAGCUUGGCUACCUAGCCAACUAGCUAACGUUAGUUAGUGCAGUCAUUUAAAGAUAGGCUACGACCAGAUGAGGUACUGGCUUACUGUGAAAAGUUGCCCGCUAAACUGAUGUAGGUAGAAGAAACAGGCACUGUUGUGACAAAUGUUUGAAACCAGCUGGGGUUGUUGGGUUACUCCCUAGCUAAGUCAUAUGUUUACAAACCUCUCAGGGGCCCAGCCCACCAGUAAAGCUGUAUAAACACCGGGUCGACGGGACAGACGGCAGCGACGCGUCGUCGUACGGGGAGGUCCGCAGUGACAUCACGAUGAGCUACAAACCCAUCGCCCCUGCCCCGUCCGGCUCCAACCACACCCCGCCAGUGUGACCUUCUCCAGUGUCAGGGACACGUUCCCUCUCUCCAGCCCCCCAGUUAGAGACACCCUGCCCCUGUACCAGGGGUCCACAGGACCAUCCUGGAUCGUGUGAUCUUUGUACAACUUGGCAGGUCGGUUGAAGUCACCGGACCAGUACCAGUGUACCUCCAAUCUCUCCGCAUUAAAGAGAGGAUAGAGAGAGAGCAGUUCCACCGGGUCAAGACCGAAACAUGAGGGAACCACAAGGUGAAGACCGCUGGGGUAGGAGGGAGAUGUAGUGCUUUUUAAGAGGAAGUGCAAAUAAUACAUUUAAAUAGGGCAUUAUAACACAUUGCUUCACAAGGCUUUAUAAAGCCUGAUCUGAAUCCUCUAUGACUAUGGUUAUAGAUGUUGAUGAGCAGUUAUUACUACUUGUGUGGGGCAUUGUAAUUCAUUAUGUAUAGUUCAUAAGGGAUACAUAUGCUUAUGGAUUAUGAAGAGGAUAAGUGUAGGAGCUUUUGCAACUAGCAAACAGUUGAUAUGCUCACCAGGACUUUGAGCUGCCAUGAGGACUGUGAGAGCUGCCAGUAUCAUCAAAUUCAGCCACACUCCUGUCGUAAAGAUCAGAACAUCAAUGUGAUGACAAUAUCAUCAUAACUGCAGGUAUUAGAAGAAGUUUAAUCUAUUGUGUCAUUAAACACAGGGUGCAAUUUUCAGUAUAGUAUGUUGCACAUCCCUUAAUGUGGCCCUGGUCAUUUGAUUCAAUUCCACGUUGUGUCUCAAAGCUAAAACCAUUAGGUCAUACAACCAAUGUGUUGGAACCCUUGAACAAAUAGACUGUGUUAUACUGAACUUUGGACCUUGGGCUGUUGGAUAAGUUUUAUCUUAUAACUGCUAUUAUUACUGCUAUAAAACAUACACAAUUGGAGCCAUUGUUGAAAUAUACAGUCGCUAGUGAAAGUCUACACACCCCUUGCAGUCUCCACAUUUUCCUGCCUUAAAAUUCAAUGUAAAAAUGGUUGAAUUAGAUGUUUCCUACCAAUCUACACAACCUACUCCACAUUUUCAAAGUGAAGAAAAUUUUUAGAAAAUGUUCCUAAUUAAUGAAAAAUGAAA